UACGGGGGGAGCAAGCGUUGUUCGGAUUUACUGGGCGUAAAGAGCGCGUAGGCGGCCAGCACAAGUCAGUUGUGAAAUCUCCGAGCUUAACUCGGAACGGUCAACUGAUACUGAUGUGCUAGAGUGCAGAAGGGGCAACCGGAAUUCUUGGUGUAGCGGUGAAAUGCGUAGAUAUCAAGAGGAACACCUGAGGUGAAGACGGGUUGCUGGGCUGACACUGACGCUGAGGCGCGAAAGCUAGGGUAGCAAACGGG
rnacentral:rRNA from 1 species